rnacentral:rRNA from 1 species
AGAGUUUGAUCAUGGCUCAGGAUGAACGCUAGCGGCAGGCUAAACACAUGCAAGUCGAGGGGCAGCACGGGUAGCAAUACCUGGUGGCGACCGGCGCACGGGUGAGUAACGCGUAUGCAACUUACCUACAACAGGGGGAUAAUCCGGGGAAACCUGGUCUAAUAUUCCAUAGCAUUACGUCAUCGCAUGAUGAUGUAAUUAAAGCUUAAAUGUGGUUGUAGAUAGGCAUGCGUGUCAUUAGGUAGUUGGUGAGGUAACGGCUCACCAAGCCCACGAUGACUAGGGGAACUGAGAGGUUGAUCCCCCACACUGGUACUGAGACACGGACCAGACUCCUACGGGAGGCAGCAGUGAGGAAUAUUGGUCAAUGGGCGCAAGCCUGAACCAGCCAUGCCGCGUGCAGGAAGACGGUCCUACGGAUUGUAAACUGCUUUUGUACGGGAGCAAUAAGGACUACGUGUAGUUCGAUGAGAGUACUGUACGAAUAAGCAUCGGCUAACUCCGUGCCAGCAGCCGCGGUAAUACGGAGGAUGCAAGCGUUAUCCGGAUUCAUUGGGUUUAAAGGGUGCGUAG